UACGUAGGGUGCGAGCGUUGUCCGGAAUUAUUGGGCGUAAAGGGCUCGUAGGCGGUCCAUCGCGUCGGGUGUGAAAAGCUGGGGCUUAACCCCAGUCCUGCUUUCGAUACGGGUGGACUAGAGGUAUGCAGGGGAGAAUGGAAUUCCUGGUGUAGCGGUGAAAUGCGCAGAUAUCAGGAGGAACGCCGGUGGCGAAGGCGGUUCUCUGGGCAUUACCUGACGCUGAGGAGCGAAAGCAUGGGGAGCAAACAGG
rnacentral:rRNA from 1 species